rnacentral:piRNA from 1 species
GAGAUGUGUGUUCAUUCUCUCAGAAAUAAG